rnacentral:lncRNA from 1 species
UGUAUCGUAGCUAUACACCGGACACGUUUAAAGAACCAGAUUGUCUAUUCACAAAGAACUAAACUAAGUUAACCGGACAAGCAUGUAUCCAAAAGGGAUGUCUCUCCCUCCCUUUAUUAUUAUUAUUAUUAUUAUUAUUAUCAUAAUCAUUAUAUACCAUAUUUAUAUAGCACUCAUUUCAUAUAAAAAUAUGCUCAAAAGUGCUUUACAUAAACAACAUCUGUAUAAUGUUCAAUACAAAUGGUAAUUGAGCUAUUAUAGAAAACAGUUUAAAAUUACAUUACGAUAGUAAGAUACCUAGCAUUUUAAAUUUGAUGUAAGCAGAUCUAAUCAUGAAACAAAAUACAAUAUCGUAAAAAACAUUUAACUAACUGAUCUAUUAAAGACGAUUAAUUUCGCGCCCUGCUAGGCUUCGUUUGUGCUAUGUAAAGCGUCUUUGCAUAUUUAUCAUGGAAAGGGCGCUAUAUAUAUAUGUGGUACAAUAAUAAUGAUAAUGAUGUAACGUCAUCCGGUUGCUCAAACUUACAUAUCAAUUAUUUAUCAAAGUUUCCAGCUAGAUGGAAGAAUGAUAAUAUUUUUGCAGAAAUAUUCUAGAAUGAAAUUGGAAAAAAAUGCCACGGCUCUUCAGGGACAUAUCUAGCUAAUAACUAUCUUCGUACCUGUAAGAAAUGGCAAUUGUUUAAUUUUUUCAAUCAGUAAAUAAAAAAAUAUUGGGUUUUCCAUAAAACAGUGAAGUCAUGUUCACGUGACUGAGAUACUUGAUAAAACGAUAAUAUUGCGCAGGAAGACUUCAGCAGUUUUCAGUGUGACCACAGGGGCAGAAUCGACGAAUUACUACCUUCGUUCCUUAUUUGAGCACUUUCUCAAGAAUCUGCGCAUUUCGAGUAGUAACAAAGUCGUAAAGCUCAUUUUGAUACUUUGCCUUAUUUCAUAUGAACGUCUUAUUGGCUAUCAUCUGCAUGAUUUUUUGUAGUAUUUGUCAAUAUUUACAAAUGAAUACUUGCAAUAAAUACUAUUUGUCACGGUCCAGUUGUUUUUGUCAUAAGCUUCUGAACAUUGUAUGAAAACAUUGCAAUGAAAUUGUUAACUAAAAAGUUUCAGAUCAAUCUACUUAUGCGUACAUUGACAUUUUAUCCACUUUUAUGUUAAUUCUAGUUGGCACGGCUCCAACCUUAAUCUUUACAUGCUUUUUUUUACAAAAUAAGUCAAUAUAUACACCUUUUACAUGCAGAAUGCUUAAAUCAAUAAAGUUCGACACGGUCCAAUAAUUUUGCAACAAACACUAAACAAAUAUAUGUGUCGCAUCAGCAUUUAAAGACAAAUACUUAUACCAGAUAUUUUUAGAAUUGAGCAAAAAAUAAAAAAGUUAUGAAAAGUACAAUGAAAAUCUCCACUGGUAAAGUUUCCUAAAAAUCGGCCUAUAUUUUGUAAAAUACUUCAUGCAGCGAUUGGUUCUACAUCAAAAUUGUAAUAUUAUGAUACAAUACGCGAGAAUCAUACAAAUCUGAAACUCUUCUAAAAAGUGCACAAUCAUCUGGCUUAUAGCCUACACUAUU